rnacentral:rRNA from 1 species
AUGAACGCUGGCGGCGUGCCUAAUACAUGCAAGUCGAACGGCAGCAGCAAUGCUGUAGUGGCGAACGGGUGAGUAACACGUUGGUGACCUGCCCCAAAGAUGGGAAUAUCACCUGGGAACGGGUGGCAAAACCGAAUAAGCUUGAGGGAGUUAGAGAGCCUCAAGUAAAAGAGGAAUCUACUUUGGGAGGGGCCUGCGGCCCAUCAGUUAGUUGGUGAGGGUAACGGCCCACCAAGACGGCGACGGGUAGGGGACCUGAGAGGGUGGUCCCCCACAAUGGAACUGAAACACGGUCCAUACACCUGCGGGUGGCAGCAGUAGGGAAUAUUGCUUAAUGGGCGAAAGCCUGAAGCAGCAACGCCGCGUGGACGAAGGAGGCCUUCGGGUCGUAAAGUCCUUUUAUGUGGGAAAAGGAAGGAUGGUACCACAUGAAUAAGUCUCGGCUAACUACGUGCCAGCAGCAGC